UACAGAGGGUGCGAGCGUUGUUCGGAAUUACUGGGCGUAAAGCGCGCGCAGGCGGCCCUUUAGGUCCGUCGGUCAAAUGCCGGGGCUCAACCCCGAUGCAUGCCGAGGAUACUGGAGGGCUGGAGACACGUAGAGGCAAGCGGAAUUCCGGGUGUAGCGGUGGAAUGCGUAGAGAUCCGGAAGAACACCGGAGGCGAAGGCGGCUUGCUGGGCGUGAUCUGACGCUGAGGCGCGAAAGCGUGGGGAGCGAACAGG
rnacentral:rRNA from 1 species